AGUGAACGCUGGCGGUAGGCCUAACACAUGCAAGUCGAACGGCAGCACAGGAGAGCUUGCUCUCUGGGUGGCGAGUGGCGGACGGGUGAGGAAUACAUCGGAAUCUGCCCAGUCGUGGGGGAUAACGUAGGGAAACUUACGCUAAUACCGCAUACGACCUUCGGGUGAAAGAGGGGGAUCGCAAGACCUCUCGCGAUUGGAUGAGCCGAUGUCGGAUUAGCUAGUUGGCGGGGUAAUGGCCCACCAAGGCGACGAUCCGUAGCUGGUCUGAGAGGAUGAUCAGUCACACUGGAACUGAGACACGGUCCAGACUCCUACGGGAGGCAGCAGUGGGGAAUAUUGGACAAUGGGCGCAAGCCUGAUCCAGCCAUACCGCGUGGGUGAAGAAGGCCUUCGGGUUGUGAAGCCCUUUUGUUGGGAAAGAAAUCUUUCAGGCUAAUACCCUGGGAGGAUGACGGUACCCAAAGAAUAAGCACCGGCUAACUUCGUG
rnacentral:rRNA from 1 species